rnacentral:rRNA from 1 species
UACGAAGGGGGCUAGCGUUGCUCGGAAUGACUGGGCGUAAAGGGCGCGUAGGCGGAUUGUACAGUCAGGCGUGAAAUUCCCGGGCUCAACCUGGGGGCUGCGCUUGAGACGUGCGAUCUUGAGUGGGGAAGAGGGUCGUGGAAUUCCCAGUGUAGAGGUGAAAUUCGUAGAUAUUGGGAAGAACACCGGUGGCGAAGGCAGCGACCUGGUCCUUGACUGACGCUGAGGCGCGAAAGCGUGGGGAGCAAACAGG